rnacentral:rRNA from 1 species
GUAGGGAAUAUUGGGCAAUGGAUGCAAGUCUGACCCAGCCAUCCCGCGUGCCGGAAGAAGGCCCUCAGGGUUGUAAACGGCUUUUGACGGUGAAGAAUCGACAGGAUGCGUCCUGUUUUGACGGUAGCCGUUGAAUAAGCACCGGCUAACUCCGUGCCAGCAGCCGCGGUAAUACGGAGGGUGCGAGCGUUGUCCGGAUUUAUUGGGUUUAAAGGGUGCGUAGGAUGGAAGGUCAGUCAGCGGUGAAAAGCUGUCGCUUAACGAUAGUCUUGCCGCAGAUACUUCCUUUCUUGGAUGAGGAGGAGGCCACUGGAACGGAUGGUGUAGCGGUGAAAUGCAUAGAUAUCAUCCAGAACACCGAUUGCGAAGGCAGGUGGCUGUACCUUAAUCGACGCUGAUGCACGAAAGCAUGGGGAGCAAACAGGAUUAGAAACCCCGGUAGUCC